rnacentral:rRNA from 1 species
CUGUGGGGACCGCCGCUGCUAAAGCGGAGGAAGGAAUGGGCAACGGUAGGUCAGUAUGCCCCGAAUAUCCCGGGCUACACGCGAGCUACAAUGGUUGGUACAAUGGGUAUCUACCCCGAAAGGGGACGGGAAUCUCCUAAAAACCAAUCUUAGUUCGGAUUGAGGGCUGCAACUCGCCCUCAUGAAGCUGGAAUCCGUAGUAAUCGCGUUUCAACAGAACGCGGUGAAUACGUCCCUGCUCCUU